GCCUUCGUGAUAUAAUGGUCAGCACGCUCGACGCCUAUUCGAGAGGUCCGUGGUUCGAGUCCCGUCGAGGGCA
rfam:Stegodyphus mimosarum contig48938, whole genome shotgun sequence.